AUCUUUGCGCAGUGGCAGUAUCGUAACCAAUGAGGUCAAACCGAGGUGCGAUUAUUGCCAGUUGAAAACUUUACCCAAUACCCGCCUUGACGAUGUGAAACAUAAUCAACAAUGGCAAUUUUUGACGGUCUCCGAGUAGG